rnacentral:rRNA from 1 species
GCAUAUCAAUAAGCGGAGGAAAAGAAACCAACAGGGAUUGCCUCAGUAACGGCGAGUGAAGCGGCAACAGCUCAAAUUUGAAAUCUGGCCUUGGCCCGAGUUGUAAUUUGUAGAGGAUGUUUCUGGCGCGGCGCCUUCCGAGUUCCCUGGAACGGGACGCCAUAGAGGGUGAGAGCCCCGUACGGUCGCGCGCUAAGCCUCUGUGAAACUCCUUCAACGAGUCGAGUAGUUUGGGAAUGCUGCUCUAAAUGGGAGGUGUACGUCUUCUAAAGCUAAAUACCGGCCAGAGACCGAUAGCGCACAAGUAGAGUGAUCGAAAGAUGAAAAGCACUUUGAAAAGAGGGUUAAACAGUACGUGAAAUUGUUGAAAGGGAAGCGGUUACGACCAGACUUGGGCCCGGUUAAUCAUCCAGCGUUCUCGCUGGUGCACUUGGCCGGCCCAGGCCAGCAUCAGUUUGCCCCGGGGGAUAAAGGCUUCGGGAAUGUGG